GGCGGAGUAGCUCAGUUGGUUAGAGCAGCGGAAUCAUAAUCCGCGUGUCCGGGGUUCGAAUCCCUGCUCCGCUACUA
rnacentral:tRNA from 1 species